UACGUAGGGUGCGAGCGUUGUCCGGAAUUAUUGGGCGUAAAGAGCUCGUAGGCGGUCUGUUACGUCUGCUGUGAAAACCCAGGGCUUAACCCUGGGCUUGCAGUGGAUACGGGCAGACUAGAGGCAGGUAGGGGAGAAUGGAAUUCCCGGUGUAGCGGUGAAAUGCGCAGAUAUCGGGAGGAACACCAAUGGCGAAGGCAGCUCGCUGGGACGUUACUGACGCUGAGACGCGAAAGCGUGGGGAGCAAACAGG
rnacentral:rRNA from 1 species